rnacentral:rRNA from 1 species
GUAGUCCACACUGUAAACGAUGAAUGCUAGGUGUAGGAGGUAUCGACCCCUUCUGUGCCGGAGUAAACACAAUAAGCAUUCCGCCUGGGGAGUACGGCCGCAAGGUUGAAACUCAAAGGAAUUGACGGGGGCCCGCACAAGCAGCGGAGCAUGUGGUUUAAUUCGACGCAACGCGAAGAACCUUACCAGGUCUUGACAUCCAGUAAAUCCUGUAGAGAUACAGAGUCCCUUCGGGGGUACUGAGACAGGUGGUGCAUGGUUGUCGUCAGCUCGUGUCGUGAGAUGUUGGGUUAAGUCCCGCAACGAGCGCAACCCUUGCCUUUAGUUGCCAGCAUUAAGUUGGGCACUCUAGAGGGACUGCCAGGGAUAACCUGGAGGAAGGUGGGGAUGACGUCAAAUCAUCAUGCCCCUUAUGCUUAGGGCUACACACGUGCUACAAUGGGUGGUACAGAGGGCAGCCAAGUCGUGAGGCCGAGCUAAUCCCUUAAAGCCAUUCUCAGUUCGGAUUGUAGGCUGAAACUCGCCUACAUGAAGCUGGAGUUACUAGUAAUCGCAGAUCAGAAUGCUGCGGUGAAUGCGUUCCCGGGUCUUGUACACACCGCCCGUCACACCAUGGGAGUUGGGGGCGCCCGAAGCCGGUUAGCUAACCUUUUGGAAGCGGCCGUCGAAGGUGAAACCAAUAACUGGGGUG